rnacentral:rRNA from 1 species
GAUGAACGCUGGCGGCGUGCCUAAUACAUGCAAGUCGAGCGAACGGACGAGAAGCUUGCUUCUCUGAUGUUAGCGGCGGACGGGUGAGUAACACGUGGAUAACCUACCUAUAAGACUGGGAUAACUUCGGGAAACCGGAGCUAAUACCGGAUGAUAUUUUGAACCGCAUGGUUCAAAAGUGAAAGACGGUCUUGCUGUCACUUAUAGAUGGGUCCGCGCUGCAUUAGCUAGUUGGUAAGGUAACGGCUUACCAAGGCAACGAUGCAUAGCCGACCUGAGAGGGUGAUCGGCCACACUGGAACUGAGACACGGUCCAGACUCCUACGGGAGGCAGCAGUAGGGAAUCUUCCGCAAUGGGCGAAAGCCUGACGGAGCAACGCCGCGUGAGUGAUGAAGGUCUUCGGAUCGUAAAACUCUGUUAUUAGGGAAGAACAUAUGUGUAAGUAACUGUGCACAUCUUGACGGUACCUAAUCAGAAAGCCACGGCUAACUACGU